UAGGGAAUCUUCCGCAAUGGGCGAAAGCCUGACGGAGCAACGCCGCGUGAGUGAUGAAGGUCUUCGGAUCGUAAAACUCUGUUAUCAGGGAAGAACAAAUGUGUAAGUAACUGUGCACAUCUUGACGGUACCCGAUCAGAAAGCCACGGCUAACUACGUGCCAGCAGCCGCGGUAAUACGUAGGUGGCAAGCGUUAUCCGGAAUUAUUGGGCGUAAAGCGCGCGUAGGCGGUUUUUUAAGUCUGAUGUGAAAGCCCACGGCUCAACCGUGGAGGGUCAUUGGAAACUGGAAAACUUGAGUGCAGAAGAGGAAAGUGGAAUUCCAUGUGUAGCGGUGAAAUGCGCAGAGAUAUGGAGGAACACCAGUGGCGAAGGCGACUUUCUGGUCUGUAACUGACGCUGAUGUGCGAAAGCGUGGGGAUCAAACAGGAUUAGAUACCCUGGUAGCCCACGCCGUAAACGAUGAGUGCUAAGUGUUAGGGGGUUUCCGCCCCUUAGUGCUGCAGCUAACGCAUUAAGCACUCCGCCUGGGAAGUACGACCGCAAGGUUG
rnacentral:rRNA from 1 species